CAUUUCACUGUAAGGUCUACUACACCUGUUGUAUUCAGCAUUUCACUGUAAGGUCUACCUACACCUGUUGUAUUCAGCAUUUCACUGUAAGGUCUACCUACACCUGUUGUAUUCAGCAUUUCACUGUAAGGUCUACUACACCUGUUGUAUUCAGCAUUUCACUGUAAGGUCUACUAGACCUGUUGUAUUCAGCAUUUCACUGUAAGGUCUACUACACCUGUUGUAUUCAACAUUUCACUGUAAGGUCUACUACACCUGUUGUAUUCAGCAUUUCACUGUAAGGUCUACCUACACCUGUUGUAUUCAGCAUUUCACUGUAAGGU
ensembl:lncRNA